GGGUGCACGGUGAAAACCUAGCCACCAAUCCCUCGCAUCCCUGAACAACCAAUCCGUCCGCUCCCCUCUUCCCCUGCCCUCCUCUGCGACGCCGCCUCCUCCCCUUCCCUCCUCUGCGUCGCCUCCUCCUCCCCUUCUCCCCUGCUCUCCACUGCACCGCCUCCUCCUCCCCUUCACUUUUCUCUCCCGGGGCGGCAACAACCUACAGGCAAAAGGCGACGGCGAUGUCGCUCAAUUUGAUCUGCAGGAGAGAGAGAAGGAAGGAGAGGAGGGAGAAAGGAAGAGGAAAGAGAAAAGGGAGGUGCGGCGACGGAUGGGUGAGGGUCACCGGAAGGAGCGCCGCCGGCUCGUCGCCUUUCACACCGAGGUGGAGCAAAUAUGUCUCUGUACAGCCCUCAUGCUCGCAGGGGCCUUGCGAGAAGUGGAAGGUAGAGGUCGUACGCCAGCCGGAGCAACAGGAGCAAGGAUCUGGCGUCAUCUGCCUCCCGGUUGCACAACACCACUGCAUCUCCUUCCUGUUGUUGUUGGCGGCAUCCGCCUCUCAGUUGCAUGCUGCCACUGCAUCUCCUUCCUGUUUUAUUUUUAGAUUUUACAUGUUCAGCUAUAGGUUGGCUUGAUCUCUUGUGUCAGGGAGGUGCGAGGUUAGGCAUUUAGGCAAUGGCAGCCACAGUUUCAGUGAAGGAUGUCCAUGCCAUGUGCAAUGAGGGAUAGGCCAUCAGCACAACCGUCCUUUGGGUCCUGAUGAAAGUCACUGUCGGUGGCAGGGAAUUCGUUGCCGGAUGCGUCCUAUAUGUGAUGGGUGUGUUCCCAUCCAGUCGUUGGUGGGCUUGAUGUGCCCGUCGAUUCGACGAUCCGCGGGCCGAGCUCAGCUUCUCAGUGGCGGACUGAUGUUCUAUGGUAGUGGCAGUCAUUGUAUGUGGUGGUGCGGUUGCUGAUGUACAGGAGGCGUCCAUGGUGUCAGUUCUCCAUCGUCCAUGCUUAUCUUCUGUAUGCUCUAGCAGCCAGGGCAUCUAAGCUGAAAAGAGGUGGGUGUGGUGGUGGCUUAAGCAAAAUUUAUGCAAUUUCACUUUAACUUCAAAACUGUUGUUGUUUGGAAGUCUACUGUACGUUCAGAUUCUGAAGUAGUUACGCGAGAGUAUAAGAGGUGGCUCAAGAAAUAGAAGACGCUCAUGUUCAUGUACGCUUAGAUUUUGCAUGGAGCUGAAGAAAUGAUCUGAACUUUAUGUUCUGCUGCUGACAAAUGACGAAUGCCGAAUAUAUGUAUCCAGUUGGUCCCUCAUCGGCGGGAGGACGGGCGAGGAGGUCGAGGCCCACUGGGGUUCACGAGGAGGCGCACGGGCGGCAAUCACUACAACCAUCAUGUGCUACUGCAGGCUUUCCUAGCCUCGUCACAUGAUCAACACGGCGAGCAUCGGCAAAGGGCAGUGCCAAACCAAGUACGCGAGGAGCGCCCGGGCCGUCCUUCACCCUCCAACAAUGGCGACAACGACUGUGCGUCAUGGGACGAACAUGGAGCUCACCCUCUCUACGCCGUGCAUCACAUCUACUUAAUUUGGAGGGUUACACCGGGUGUUUAUAUACUUCGGUCGAUGGUUUCCGUGCCUUGAGGAACAAUCCUAUUAUUGUACUAUGCGUACUGACUAUAUAUGUAUGACGCAUAAAUCCUCACAAGUUGGAACCCAUCACUGCUCAUGCUCGACCGUGACUCCACGCGCAAGGUCCGCCUAGCCACGCGUAGGUCACGCCGCCGGCUGUCGAGCCUCCUGUUCCACCCUGCAGUGUGUUCGAACAGCCGAAGCUGAGUAUGCGAAGAUUCAUCCCCGGCCCAUCCUUGUUCAACGCAUGGAAGCAAUGACUGCUGCUGGCUUUGAAGCUGGUUGAGGUUGCUGCUUGCCGUUGGUUGGAGCCUUGUAGGUAGAGGCCUUGCGGUGGUCCAAGAUUCUUACAUAGUGUUGUGCCUGGUUUCUUCUUGAAGGAUUUGCUGCGAAAGCUGGGAAUGUUAAGAGGAAUCUGCUUUGAGAGGUGUCGUAGUCUGAGAGGAAACGAUUUCUUCUAGGCCAGUGGUGUUCCUUUGCGCUAUAGCCAGUGCGCUAUCUCCUAGAACCUAUCAUGGAGGAGGUUGACAUCACAGACAAGUUCAUGCUUGAGGUCAUUUUCAUUAAGCUGCAGCUCGCGCAACCACUAUUUUUACUACUGCAAAGUGGACAGAGUUUUGCAGUAACAAUCAAGUUCCGUCCCAGCACGCGGCAUCAGCAACAUGAUGCUGAAGCAAUGGCAUUAUCCGGAUAUUCAUCUAAUUCCAUAGAAGUUGCAACGGAUGUUGCAGCGGCUCGAGUUAUCAGAUACAUGGAGGCUGUGUGUGCCAAGGUGCUCAAGGACUAUAGUUACAACAAAUUGAAACAAACAAAGGAAAGAGAAUUGCAUCUAAUUGGUUUGUUAAUAGACAAAGAAAAGUAGAUCAAAGAGCAGAAUUGGAAGAUCAGAGAGCUUAGCAAAGGCUUUGCAGACAAUAUGUAUCAAGUUAAAACACUUUUGCUGGGAUUCAUCACAUAGCUAAAGACGGUGAUACUCAACCAGUUCUACAAACGGCAAUGGCACCACAAGGCUGCUGUUGAUGUGCAGAAUGAACUUGCUCAUCUGCAGUAUGCAGUUGAUUGACUAAUGACUCUAUCCAGCUGAUUCGAAACACAUUGGUUUAUCCCUUUUAAAUAGAGUCUACUUCCAUAGCCUAUGUACCUUUGGAAGAUGCUUACCGGCUAUAACAACUUUAUUUAAAUGACCAGCGAUACCGCCUGCAUCUUACCGUGCUAACUAAUUAGCCUGUGAAGUUUUGUGUAUAGGUUCACCCAAAGAACAUGUUUACUUUUGGCAGUACUCUCUGGUCAUCAUGUUUACUCUACUAAGCUACCUAAAUAGCCUAUGAAGCUUUGUGUGUAUAGCUUCACCCUAAGAACCCGUUUGCUUUUGGCACUACUCUCUGGUCAUAUAUAAAUUUUGAAUGCAUGAUACUAUGUUGUAUCCAUGUGAUAUAUCUAUGCCGACUGAGUCUACUCAAGCUUUCUGCUUC